rnacentral:rRNA from 1 species
CCGAAUUCUUCCACAACAGAGUUGAUCCUGGCUCAGAUUGAACGCUGGCGGCAGGCCUAACACAUGCAAGUCGAGCGGAUGAUGGGAGCUUGCUCCCGGAUUCAGCGGCGGACGGGUGAGUAAUGCCUAGGAAUCUGCCUGGUAGUGGGGGACAACGUUUCGAAAGGAACGCUAAUACCGCAUACGUCCUACGGGAGAAAGCAGGGGACCUUCGGGCCUUGCGCUAUCAGAUGAGCCUAGGUCGGAUUAGCUAGUUGGUGGGGUAAAGGCCUACCAAGGCGACGAUCCGUAACUGGUCUGAGAGGAUGAUCAGUCACACUGGAACUGAGACACGGUCCAGACUCCUACGGGAGGCAGCAGUGGGGAAUAUUGGACAAUGGGCGCAAGCCUGAUCCAGCCAUACCGCGUGGGUGAAGAAGGCCUUCGGGUUGUAAAGCCCUUUUGUUGGGAAAGAAAAGCAGUCGGUUAAUACCCGAUUGUUCUGACGGUACCCAAAGAAUAAGCACCGGCUAACUUCGUGCCAGCAGCCGCGGUAAUACGAAGGGUGCAAGCGUUACUCGGAAUUACUGGGCGUAAAGCGUGCGUAGGUGGUUGUUUAAGUCUGUCGUGAAAGCCCUGGGCUCAACCUGNGAAUUGCGAUGGAAACUGGGCGACUAGAGUGUGGCAGAGGGUAGUGGAAUUCCUGGUGUAGCAGUGAAAUGCGUAGAGAUCAGGAGGAACAUCCGUGGCGAAGGCGACUGUCUGGGACAGCACUGACACUGAGGCACGAAAGCGUGGGGAG